rnacentral:rRNA from 1 species
AUGAUGGCGUCCCAUGAACCCCACCACCACCUACUCGGCUUCUCCUCCUCAUCGCCGGUGACUCCUAACCCUGCCGCCAUGGCCAUGGCCUUCGACCACCACGGCCUGUUCGCUCCACUCCACGGGGACAUGCCACCGCGAUCCGGAGGUGCCGACGACAGGCCAUGGCCGCCGCAAGUGUCGACGCUCUCUCUCUACGACACGGCCAGCCAGCAUGAGCUGCAACCUUUCACGGUGGCGCCGCCAUCGAUGAUGUCCAUGCAGCAGCAGCCCUUCCGGUUAAAUAGCUCUAGGUACCUGGGCCCUGCGAGGGAGCUGCUUGGUGAGUUCUGCAGCCUCGAAGGUGAUGCCAUGAACGGCGGCGCGAUGAUGCGAGCUCCGAAGCGGGACGGUGAAGUGGAGGCGUCGUCGCCGGCGUGUGGCCCAUGGGGCGCCAACCCGUCUCUGAGCUCCAUGAAUUACAUGGCGCUCGAGAGGAGAAAGGCCAGGCUCUUGUCCAUGAUUAAAGAGGUGGACAGGUGCUACCGACGAUACCGUGAGAAAAUGCGGGCGACAGAGUUGUCGUUCGAGGCGGUGGCCGGCACGGGGGCAGCACAAGUGUACACGAAGCUGGCGAUGCGUGCCAUGUCACGCCACUUCCGAUGCCUGAGGGAUGCGCUCGUGGGGCAGAUACGAACUUUGAAGAAAUCAAUGGGGGAGAGCAGGGAUGCCGAGGGCAUGUUGGUAGCACCGGGUGCGUCAAAAGGGGACACGCCGAGGCUAAGGGUUGUGGACCAAUGCCUGAGGCGGCAAAGGGCGUUCCAGCAAUAUGGGGGUGCUGCCGCCAUUGAGAGCUGCCCAUGGCGCCCCCAGCGCGGCCUGCCAGAGCGCGCCGUCGCCGUCCUCCGCUCGUGGCUCUUCGAGCACUUCCUCCACCCGUAUCCAAAUGACGUAGACAAGCACAUUCUGGCGCGCCAAUCUGGGUUAUCAAGAAGCCAGGUUUCCAACUGGUUCAUCAAUGCAAGGGUUAGGCUAUGGAAGCCCAUGAUAGAGGAGAUGUACGCAGAAGAAACCAUACAACAUGAGGACGGUGGCACUAGCGGUGGUAAAGGCGAACUUGCUCCCACGGAUCAUCAUCACAACAACUUGGCAGCAUGGACGACGGUUACGACAACAGGAGAUCAAAGUUGCCAUCGCCUUAGCGGCAGAAACAACCCUGGUGACUGCUUCAUCCCAUCCUCCCUGGUUGCCGACGGCAGCCAAUUUCUCCAUGACUACCCAAGUUUGUGCAGUGAUAGCGGCAGCGGCAUGGUGUCGCUUACCUUGGGACUCCAACAGCAACGGGCGUUUACAUCACCGGCGAUGAUCAUGCAACAACAAUCGCCGCUCAUGAUUGGAGCUGAGGAGGAAGACAUGGUGCUACCGUAUAGGAACCUCAUGGGGUCUGAGCUGUUGCAUGAUUUCGUAGGCUAG